rnacentral:sRNA from 1 species
AGCGCUUCGGUACUAUUGUAGAAAAUGUGUAUUAUC